CGAGUAGGCUGGAUGGUCGCGAAAUCCCUCGGAUUUCGAGGAAAGUCCGGGCUCCACAGGACAGAGUGCUUGAUAACGUCAAGGCGGGGCGACCCGACGGAAAGUGGAACAGAAAAUAUACCGCCUAAGCCCGAUCUUUUGAUCGGGCCGGUAAGGUUGAAAUGGUGCGGUAAGAGCGCACCAGCGGUCUGGCAACAGGCCGGCUUGCCAAACCCCACUCGGAGCAAUUCCAAAUAGGGGAGCAUUAGCGUGGUCCGCGCUGUUCCCGGGUAGGAAGCUUGAGAUCAGUGGCGACGCUGAUCCUAGAUGAAUGGCCAUCUCUGAGCAAUCGCUCUAGACAGAACUCGGCUUACAGGCUUACUCACCUA
rnacentral:RNase_P_RNA from 1 species